GCCUACGGGGGGCAGCAGUGGGGGAUAUUGCGCAAUGGGGGAAACCCUGACGCAGCAACGCCGCGUGAAGGAUGAAGGUUUUCGGAUUGUAAACUUCUUUUAUUAAGGACGAAAAAAUGACGGUACUUAAUGAAUAAGCUCCGGCUAACUACGUGCCAGCAGCCGCGGUAAUACGUAGGGGGCAAGCGUUAUCGGGAUUUACUGGGUGUAAAGGGAGCGUAGGCGGUUUAGCAAGUCAGAAGUGAAAGCCCGGGGCUCAACUCCGGGACUGCUUUUGAAACUGUUGAACUAGAUUGCAGGAGAGG
rnacentral:rRNA from 1 species